rnacentral:rRNA from 1 species
GUAAACGAUGAACACUAGGUGUCGGGGGAAUCGACCCCCUCGGUGUCGUAGCCAACGCGUUAAGUGUUCCGCCUGGGGAGUACGCACGCAAGUGUGAAACUCAAAGGAAUUGACGGGGGCCCGCACAAGCGGUGGAGUAUGUGGUUUAAUUCGAUGCAACGCGAAGAACCUUACCAGGGUUUGACAUCCUGCGAAUCUCUUGGAAACAGGAGAGUGCCUUCGGGAACGCAGUGACAGGUGGUGCAUGGCUGUCGUCAGCUCGUGUCGUGAGAUGUUGGGUUAAGUCCCGCAACGAGCGCAACCCACGUCUUUAGUUGCCAGCAUUUAGUUGGGCACUCUAGAGAGACUGCCGGUGAUAAACCGGAGGAAGGUGUGGAUGACGUCAAGUCAUCAUGCCCCUUACAUCCUGGGCUACACACGUACUACAAUGCUACGGACAAAGGGCUGCAAGUUCGCGAGGACAAGCAAAUCCCAUAAACCGUGGCUCAGUUCAGAUCGUAGGCUGCAACUCGCCUACGUGAAGGCGGAAUCGCUAGUAAUCGCAGGUCAGCAUACUGCGGUGAAUACGUUCCCGGGCCUU